rnacentral:rRNA from 1 species
AUUGAACGCUGGCGGCAGGCCUAAAACAUGCAAGUCGAACGAGUGGCGGACGGGUGAGUAAUGUCUGGGAAACUGCCUGAUGGAGGAGGAUAACUACUGGAAACGGUAGCUAAUACCGCAUACCAUCAGAUGUGCUCAGAUGGGAUUAGCUAGUAGGUGGGGUAACGGCUGACAUAGGCGACGAUCCCGAGCUGGUCUGAGAGGAUGACCAGCCACACUGGAACUGAGACACGGUCCAGACUCCUACGGGAGGCAGCAGUAGGGAAUAUUGCGCAAUGGGCGAAAGCCUGAUGCAGCCAUGCCGCGUGGAUGAAGAAGGCCUUCGGGUGGUAAAGUACUGUCAGCGGGGAAGCGUUACCCGCAGAGGAAGCACCGGCUAACUCCGUGCCAGCAGCCGCGGUAAUAC